rnacentral:rRNA from 1 species
GGCCUACCAAGGCGACGAUCUGUAGCUGGUCUGAGAGGAUGAUCAGCCACACUGGGACUGAGACACGGCCCAGACUCCUACGGGAGGCAGCAGUGGGGAAUAUUGGACAAUGGGCGAAAGCCUGAUCCAGCCAUGCCGCGUGUGUGAAGAAGGCCUUUUGGUUGUAAAGCACUUUAAGUGGGGAGGAAAAGCUUAUGGUUAAUACCCAUAAGCCCUGACGUUACCCACAGAAUAAGCACCGGCUAACUCUGUGCCAGCAGCCGCGGUAAUACAGAGGGUGCAAGCGUUAAUCGGAAUUACUGGGCGUAAAGCGCGCGUAGGUGGUUAUUUAAGUCAGAUGUGAAAGCCCCGGGCUUAACCUGGGAACUGCAUCUGAUACUGGAUAACUAGAGUAGGUGAGAGGGGAGUAGAAUUCCAGGUGUAGCGGUGAAAUGCGUAGAGAUCUGGAGGAAUACCGAUGGCGAAGGCAGCUCCCUGGCAUCAUACUGACACUGAGGUGCGAAAGCGUGGGUAGCAAACAGGAUUAGAUACCCUGGUAGUCCACGCCGUAAACGAUGUCUACCAGUCGUUGGGUCUUUUAAAGACUUAGUGACGCAGUUAACGCAAUAAGUAGACCGCC